GAACUCUCUACCCCUAAAAUUCCUCCUCCUCCUUCAUAUGUUACCUAUUUAUUAUUUAUUAUUUCCACUCCAACAAACACAUCAAGAAUUAGAGAAUAACCACCACCGCUUCGACUACAUUGGUGUUCGGUAUGAAGCUACUUUGGAUAUACAAAGAUAAUCUACAAUAUAAGCAUUUUUCAUAUUCAGAGACUCGAUUGUGGAUGUUGGCAACAAUAACAACAGUCUACACACUGCUGUUAUAGCAAGCUUUUUUCCAUAUGGAAGAGACUUUGUGACACACAAUCCAACAGGAAGAAUGUCCAAUGGAAAGCUUGCUGUAGACUAUGCUUGUGAUUUUUCUGCCACCUCAAAAUCUACAUUGUCAAUUUAUUUUAUUCCAAAAUGAAAAUUUCAGUCGACUUUAAAUUGGCAGUCUGUUGCAGGCUAGUAAGAUUAAGACAAUUUAGCGAUAUGCAGGCGACUGCAUUAUAAAGUCAUCCAUAAGGAUCCUAGUUUUUUGUCUAGUAAUUGAUCUUUUGUAAAACGAACAAGAAUUUGAUCUAUAUAUGUUAUUUUUUUAC
rnacentral:lncRNA from 1 species